CGGCGAGUAGCGCAGCUUGGUAGCGCAACUGGUUUGGGACCAGUGGGUCGGAGGUUCGAAUCCAAAAAAAAAAUCUCUCGCCGACCA
rnacentral:tRNA from 1 species